UAGGGAAUCUUCCACAAUGGACGCAAGUCUGAUGGAGCAACGCCGCGUGGGUGAAGAAGGGUUUCGGCUCGUAAAACUCUGUUGUUAAAGAAGAACAUAUCUGAGAGUAACUGUUCAGGUAUUGACGGUAUUUAACCAGAAAGCCACGGCUAACUACGUGCCAG
rnacentral:rRNA from 1 species